UAAUACAUGUUGGUCUGCUGCCUAC
rnacentral:miRNA from 1 species